rnacentral:rRNA from 1 species
AUUGAACGCUGGCGGCAGGCCUAACACAUGCAAGUCGAGCGGAUGAGAGGAGCUUGCUCCUCGAUUCAGCGGCGGACGGGUGAGUAAUGCCUAGGAAUCUGCCUAGUAGUGGGGGACAACGUUUCGAAAGGAACGCUAAUACCGCGUACGUCCUACGGGAGAAAGUGGGGAUCUUCGGACCUCACGCUAUUAGAUGAGCCUAGGUCGGAUUAGCUAGUUGGUAGGGUAACGGCCUACCAAGGCGACGAUCCGUAACUGGUCUGGGAGGAUGAUCAAUCACAGUAGAACGGAGACACGGUCCAGACUCCUACGGGAGGCAGAAGUGGGGAAGAGUGGAAAAUGGGCGAAAGCCUGAUCCAGCCAUGCCGCGUGUGUGAAGAAGGCCCUGGGGUCGUAAAGCACUUUAAGUUGGGAGGAAGGGCUUACAGCGAAUACCUGUGAGUUUUGACGUUACCGACAGAAUAAGCACCGGCUAACUUCGUGCCAGCCGCCGCGGUAAUAC